GCGAAAGUAGUCAAGGGCGCAUGGCGGAUGCCUUGGCUCACGGAGGCGAUGAAGGACGUGACAAGCUGCGAUAAGCGCGGGGUAGGAGCAAAUAUCCCUUGAUCCCGCGAUUUCCGAAUGGGACAACCCAAUAGUCUGAAGGACUAUUAUCUUUACCUAAGUAAAGAGGCGAACGGAGGGAACUGAAACAUCUUAGUACCUCCAGGAGAAGAGAACAACAGUGAUUCCCCCAGUAGUGGCGAGCGACCGGGGAACAGCCCAAACCGGCGUUGUAGCAAUGCAUCGCCGGGGUAGUAGGACCGCGCCGUGGUACUUGAAUGUGGAAUGGAAGGUUCUGGAAAGUUCCAUCACAGAGGGUGACAAUCCCGUACAUGAACACAGACGAGGCCUAGCGGUAUCCUGAGUAACGCGGGACACGAGUAAUCCUGCGCGAAUCGGCCGGGCCCAUCCGGCAAGGCUAAAUACUCCCGUGAGACCGAUAGCGAACGAGUACCGUGAGGGAAAGGUGAAAAGCACUCCUAUAAGGAGAGUGAAAAAGUUCCUGAAACCAUGCGCCUACAAGCGGUCGGAGCCACCUUGUGUGGUGACGGCGUGCCUUUUGCAUAAUGAACCUACGAGUUGCCGUGACGUGCGAGGUUAAGGGUGUUGACGCCCCGAUCCGCAGUGAAAGCGAGGCUGAACAGGCCGUUUAGUACGUUGGGGCAGACGCGAAACCGAGUGAUCUACACAUGUCCAGGAUGAAGUCCCGGUAACACGGGAUGGAGGUCCGCACCGAUAAGCGUUGAAAAGCUUCCGGAUGAGGUGUGUGUAGGAGUGAAAGGCCAAUCAAACUCGGAGAUAGCUCGUACUCCCCGAAAGGCAUUUAGGUGCCGCGUCGGAUGGUCACCGUGAGAGGUAGAGCGACCGAUAGGUCAAGAGGGCUUCACCGCCUAUCGAGACCUGACGAACUCCGAAUGCAUACGGUCUGUAGCAGUGCAGUAAGGGCAUGGGUGCUAAGGUCCGUGCCCGAGAGGAGAAGAAUCCAGACCGCCGUCUAAGGUCCCGGAAUCCUGUCUGAGUUAGUCUAACGAAGUCUGGUCUCGAUGACAGCUAGGAUGUUGGCUUGGAA
rnacentral:rRNA from 1 species